UGGGGAAUAUUGGACAAUGGGCGCAAGCCUGAUCCAGCCAUGCCGCGUGAGUGACGAAGGCCCUAGGGUUGUAAAGCUCUUUCAGUGGUGACGAUGAUGACGGUAGCCACAGAAGAAGCCCCGGCUAACUCCGUGCCAGCAGCCGCGGUAAUACGGAGGGGGUUAGCGUUGUUCGGAAUUACUGGGCGUAAAGCGCGCGUAGGCGGAUUGGAAAGUUGGGGGUGAAAUCCCGGGGCUCAACCCCGGAACUGCCUCCAAAACUAUCAGUCUAGAGUUCGAGAGAGGUGAGUGGAAUUCCAAGUGUAGAGGUGAAAUUCGUAGAUAUUUGGAGGAACACCAGUGGCGAAGGCGGCUCACUGGCUCGAUACUGACGCUGAGGUGCGAAAGUGUGGGGAGCAAACAGGAUUAGAUACCCCUGUAGUCC
rnacentral:rRNA from 1 species